rnacentral:rRNA from 1 species
GAUGAACGCUGGCGGCGUGCCUAAUACAUGCAAGUCGAGCGAACAGACGAGGAACUUGCUCCUCUGACGUUAGCGGCGGACGGGUGAGUAACACGUGGAUAACCUACCUAUAAGACUGGGAUAACUUCGGGAAACCGGAGCUAAUACCGGAUAAUAUAUUGAACCACAUGGUUCAAGAGUGAAAGACGGUUUUGCUGUCACUUAAGGAUAGAUCCGGGCUGGUUUGGCAAGUUGGUAAGGUAAAGGCCUACCAAGGGGAGGAUACAUAGCCGGCCUGAGAGGGUGGGAGGGCAAAAUGUGACUGAGACACGGCCCAAACUCCUACGGGAGGCAGCAGUAGGGAAUCUUCGGCAAUGGACGAAAGUCUGAACGAGCAACGCCGCGUGAGUGAAGAAGGUUUUCGGGUCGUAAAACUCUGUUGGUAGAGAAGAACGUUGGUGAGAGUGGAAAGCUCAGCAAGUGACGGUAACUACCCAGAAAGGGACGGCUAACUACGUG